GGUUAAUUUCUGGAAUACAUUUACAUAUAUGGAAAUUUGACAAUAAUUCUCCUACUGCAUUGAUUUUCUCAGAAUUGCAAGAAAUUUUUAAAAUGUUUUACUUAUAAUCAGGGUGGAAAAAUACUACGCUUAUUUAUGCAUAUUCCAGGUUAUUUACUUUAUUCGUUACACGAUUCCAUUACACAGGUUUUCACACCACUAACAAAAAUAGAAAGGCAGUUCCAAGAAUUUUAUUUCCAACACCCCUAAAUCCUCGACUUAUAACCCUUUCUCAUUCUUGAACCCUUCACAUUUCCAUAAUUUCGGCUUCACUCGAUCACUUUAAACCAUGCAUUUACGCGAAAUAAGUCUCAUUACCAUUCUGCGUUCUGAACGUUAAACAUCUCCACAUUUUACAACAUUACGACAAUUACUUCAGUACAAAAUAAAUUACUGCUAAGUCAAUUCGAUUAACAAAUCUAAUUAAUUAAUUUUUUGGUUCGUACUUACUGAAUAUAUUUCAAACUUCACAUAAUAUCUGCCACAAAAACAUUUUAAACUCACAUAUAAAAUAAUUCUUCAAGUUAUUAAAUUAAAACUAACAAGUUCAUCUACAGAAAUGGAACCUAUUUUCACAUUUCAUCAAGCAAACUUUGUUGGACGACUAGAGACCACCUUCCUCGCCGAAGUUUGUGGUAUCGAGGAGAAACUUGCGCAGACGCCAUACCUUCGCGUUAUGCUGACGCAAGAUGACGGGGACACAAUUAUGGUGGCAAUGGCGAUCGGGAAAGCUUACCACGUAGCAAAAAAUCUUUAUGAGGUCGGCAAAGUUUACUGCUUUCCACGUGGCAUGUUCAAGAUCCGUCAGCGUAACGUAGCCAUCCAGUCUUGGUCAAGUUAUCCCUUCGACUUGAGGUUUCUCAACAAUUCUAAUAAAAAUGAAUCCCUCAAAGUAAGCUGUCCUCCUACGGAGAAUCAAGUUCAAAGUGUUGUCUCAUCUCAUCACUCUUCUAUGAACGCUGACACUGACAACGAUUGGAAGGGAAGGAGUCGCGCAUAAGAAUUUUUAUAUCAAUUAUUUUUAAUUUUGAAAAUUUAACCAAAUUGUCUUAGACCAUUUAUGUUAUGAUUAAGUAUCUAGCGUUUUUUUCAUUAAAAUGUAGUAUUUGUGAUUUAUCAAGUCUGUACCUAGCCGUUGGCUAAAAAUUUGUGUUUGUAUAUUUAAUUUCAGUGACUAAAUUACACAGAUUAUGGUGUAAACUUUUCCGCAAAAUUUUGACACGUCCACAGUCAGAUACAUAUGUACAUAUAUUCAUUUAAAAUAAUGCAUAUGCACCCAAUACAUAUUGGCUAAUCAUCGUUAAAGAUCACAAGCAACAAAAAUCAUAACACAAUUUAAAAUUCACUGGACAAAGUUAACAAAAGAAAUUCUAUAACACUUUUUUAAAUGCAUUAUAUAAAUAUAUACACAAUAACUAACGCAACAUAUUUCGUAAUUGAACCGUAGAAGCUAAAAUCCCCCUAAAAUGCAAAAUUAAUCACAUGCCUUAUGUAUGGUCUGCAAUGGAUGGUUGGUUAUUUUUAUCCUGGAAUGUGUCAAGUUUUAACUCAUUGAUAUGGUUCAAACGCACCUUUUUACACCAACUUAACUACAACUUUAUACAUAUAACUUUGUUCACUUAAGUACUCACUACUCUUAAUCAACACGGGUAUAAGCAAGUAACAAUUAAGUAACCCUGCAAAACAUUCGAUGCCAAACUACAUUUGGUUAAGCACAUCAAUUUUUUGUGAAUACAUAUAUAAAAAUCCGUAAGUUCAACAAAUCAGAAAGGAAAUGGGAUUGUUCAAAGUGCUCGAAAACGCGUAAGAAUAAUAAGUUGACGAGACACAUCGUCAUGCAUGAUCUCGAUGAUAAGGUCAAAUGUGAGGUGGGCGCGUAAAUUUAAAGAAGUGAAACAAAUUUUACAAUCCACAUUUUUCCACUUUUGUUUUGCGGGGUAAUUUCCAAAAACAGAACAGCCUAAUUUUGCCACAUGUGGAGAAUGUACAACAACCGGGAGCGACCAAGUUGUGAUACUUGUCACCGAAUGUUUUUCAAUUCGGCCAAAUUGCGGCAACAUAUUGACACCGUCCACAGCACGAAGAAACGUCGCCGUUUACCAUGUACAGUUCCUGGCUGUGAGAAAACCUUCCUACACAAGGGCAAUGUUGUGAGACAUGUGAGAACUGACCAUGCCCAGAAUCCGGUCCGAUAUCCGUGCACACUUUGCGGAAAGGAGUUCAAAUUAAGGUGUCACCUGGAGAAUCACAUUCUCACCCACACGACGGAGAAGCAUUAUAAGUGUGCCACUUGUGGGAAGAGUUUCGCCCAGAUGGGACACCUGAAAGACCACGAGAAGACGCAUUUGGACAAAUCUGCCCGAGACAUGUCAAACUGUCACGUCUGUCACGAGAACUUCUUAAGUAAACUUGGUCUACAACGCCACAUUCGAGUUGUGCAUGAAAAUUGGAGGAAUUAUCCGUGUACAUUUUGUGACAAGAGGUUCUCAUGCUCAUCACAUUUGAAGGACCACGUGGAGGCGCGACAUGUCACGAAUAAAGAGCUGAUCCGUUCCUGCGACAAAUGCGAGUACAAGAGCUACUCGAAACACAAUUUGGCCAAUCACAGAAAGCGUCACAAUGCAGCGAAUCAUAGGUGUUACUUCUGUAGAAAGAAGUUCUGCACUUUUUGGGAGUUGGUCAUACAUUGUCGAGUUCACACUUUAGAAAAUUUAAAAUACUUAUGUGUGUAAUGGGGAUAUCAAUAAGGGGCCGUCUAUAGAUUGUGUAGCGCAAAAAUCGCGAUUUUCUAAACACCUAUCCCCCCUUUAACAUGUGCAACAUAGGCAUGAUAUCAUUGUAGCUUAGAUCCCCCCCUCCCUCCGGCCCUAAUUUAUGAACCUUGCUAAAUUUGAGAUGGUUGGUUAUUAACCAUUCCUUGAGGGCCAUACAUAGAUCAUGCGGUUAAUUUGUAGUUUUUUGGAGAUUCGCCCACGGGAGGGCAAAAUCACGAAGUGAAUAUGUUGCAUAUCUAUUUUACGGACAACACAAAUGGAAAAUUCUAAACACUCCACCCUUUAUCCUAUGAUUUUUUUAACACAUGUUGCUGGAUUUAAAAUGUAAUUAAAUAUUUAAUUAAAUUAGAUAGGUAUGUACAACAGAAUACAUAAUAAUUUGUAUUCAUAAUUGCAAAAAUAUAAUUUUUAAGCAAAUUCUAGACUUAUAUAUUUUGAUUUAUAAUAAGUAUGUGCUUAUCAAGUCAAUAGUGCAUUUAAAUGUGUAUGUACAUAAGCACCUGCAGAAACACAUAAAUCUCUAGAUGUUACAUAUUUAAUUUUUUCCGUUUUUUCAGGGAGACUAAUGCGUUUUAACGCCUAUUUUUACAAGUUUCGCAUUUAUUACAAAUCGCAAUUCUGCCCACUACUAUUCUACUUAAAAUCCGAAAAUCAGAACUAAAUAUGCAUUAUUUCAAAUUUUUAAACAUAUUAAUUUGAACUAAAAUAUGUAUUCCACAACAUCUUUAAAUAGAUAUUUAUUUCCCACAUGCUAUUAUUGGCAUUCCAUUACAUUCGGUUACCCUAUUUCACCUCGACACAAAAUUAAAGAGGAAUUUCCAGGAAUUUUAUUUCCAUGUUUUCCAGCACCACUAAACCAUUGACUUCAACCCUUUACUAUUUUUAAACCCUUCUUAAUUCCAGUCGAACACUUUAAAGCAGGGUUUCACACGAAAUAAUUCUCAUUACUAUUCUUUCUUCUGCAUGUUAAACAUCUUCAAAUUUUAUUGCAUUAUGUCAAUCGUUUAACAGUUUAUAGUAAAUUUAAGUCAAUUCGUUCAGUAAUUUGUUUAAGCAUCAGAAUUUUUUGUAGUUCUUACUUAUUUCAAACUUAAUACAACUAUCCGCUUACAAAUAUUUUAAACAAAAAUAUACAUAACAUAGAGCGGGUCCUAUGGGAACCCGAUCACUAGGAAUUAUGCCCAGAAAAUGGUCAAAAAUGAUUUUUAAGAUCUCAAAUUUUUGUAGAAUAUUAUAAGUAUAUCUGGCGUCCAAUUUCCGGAACGAUUAAGACCUAAGUCCAUCGUCAAUCUCGUAUUGAAGGUUCUUCUACACGCCCGCCAUUACUGCAUUUUCGGAAGACUUUGCAACUUCAAUGCUAAUUAUCUCCUACUUGAAUCAAAAUUUUCUUAAAGUAUUGACUGUUUCACAAAGCUGGGAGUAUGUCUUCUUACAUAUGGCCCACAUUAUUUUAUUGCGCGAAGAUAAGGGUUGAAUGUGAUGUUAUCAUUUUUCAACAUCAAACUGAAUUUUUUUUCGAUUUCUUCGAUGAUAGUUUUUGCAUAGUGAAAUGGUCCACGGUCGGUCCAAAAAAUUACAUUUUGUAUUUUAUGAUACCUCAUUAUGAAAGGAAUCAGACGGUCUAUUAUACAUUUCUAGAAACAAACAUGUGUUCCCACACAGUCCAUGUGAACUUAAGGGUCACAAACAUGCCCAAUUUGGCCUAAUGCCAGAAAAAUCGAGAAUUUCUUGACAAAUUUUUAACAACAUUUUAAUUUCUCGUCUGUUUUCACUUCAGAUAUGUAUUUGCCAUGAAAAAAUUACCUUCCUGGAAUUUCUGUCACGUUAUUAACGACAUAGGAAUCGUGGCCAAUGUCCAACUUUUUGGCGAAAUUUUGCUGUAGAGCUUGGGAAGUCUUGCGUUUACCAUUUUUUCUUGACCUUCUGUAUAUUUUGGUGCAGAUUUUUUUGCAUACGUUUUGAGCCACAAUUUAUGGGCCUUAAUAUCAUACACGUAGUUUGUAUUAAGCAUUGACUUCUUGGCAGCAUCGGGCACGGCCGUGGAGCGACAUUUUCCAAAAAUAAAUUUAAUCGUUUUUAACUUUCAAGAGGUCAUUGUGAUGGUUUUUACUAACGGUGCGUAUUUGAGGUCGACAUUUUCGGAUUCCCCAUACUUUUUUCUGUAAGUCUUAAUUUUUGCACGACCACGCCCUUCUCCGUUGAAAUGCAGUUAAGUCUUCUCGAGUCAUUGUCACUCAAAAUUUUGGUACUUUCAAAAACUCGAUUCGGGAGUUCGUCGCUUUAAAGUGGUGUAGGAAAUUUAUGUUUCAUUGAAAACUUAUGAAAUUUUGGGGGUGCGUGGUUAGAUAUAUUUAGCAUAUUCUGCACGAAUUUCGGAUUUCUAAACCUGUUUUUGACAACUCUGCCAUUAAACUCCCUAGUGAUCGGGUUCCUAUAGGACCCACUCUAAUACAUAACCCGAUAUUAAUUUCAAGACAAUAAGUGCAGAGAUGGAAUCCAUUUUCACAUUUCAUCAAGCAAACUUUGUUGGACGACUAGAGACCACCUUCCUCGCCGGAGUUUAUGGUAUCGAGGAGAAAGUUGCGCGAGAGACGCCAUAUCUUCGCAUUAUGCUGACGCAGGAUGACGGAGAUACAAUUAUGGUGGCAAUGGCGAUCGGGAAAUCUUAUCACGUCGCAAAAAAUCGUUAUGAGGUCGGUAACGUUUACUGCUUUCCACGUGGCAUGUUCGAGAUCCGUCAGCGUAACGUAGCCAUCCAAUCCCGGUCAAGUUAUCCCUUCGACUUGAGGUUUCUCAACAAUUCUGAUAAAAAUGAAUCCCUCAAAGUAAGUUGUGGAGAAUCAAGUUCAACGUGUUGUCUCAUCUCCCCAAACGCGUCAUCAACCUCGCCGAACUUCUCUUAAUGCUGACACGGACAGCAACUGGAGGGGAAGAAGUUUCGCAUGAGAAUUUUUAUAUCUUAUUUUUAUAUAAAUUAUUUUUCAUUUUGUAAAUUCUCUAACAUUUUUUAGACCAUUUAAAUGUAUUAUGAUUAAGUUUUUGACUAAAAUAUAGUACUUGUGAUACAUAUAUCGGUACGUGGCCGUCGACAUAUUUAUUUUGCAUGUAUGUAUAUGUAUGAUUUAAGGAAUAAAUUACACAGAUUAUAAUGUCAACUUUUCAGCGAAAGUUUGACACAUCCACAGCCAUUUAUAUGUAUAUUCAUUAAGUACUUGAUGCACUCUGUACAUACGCGCACCCAAUACAUACUAUCAAUCCACGCCAAGGUGAACCCGGAGAUAUGGGAGACUAAACUCAGUUCAACGUUAAUAAGCAUGGGCCGGGAUUUAGUCUUCCA